AACUUCCUAGUCCUUUCCUUCCCCCUCCCCCAUCUACCCGAAGCUGCCCACGGAGGCCAGAGGAUUCGGGGCGCAACGGCUCUUUCCCCAGGCGAGGUCGGGGAGCGCUGCACCCGCGUCGCAGGACCCUCGACCCCGGCCCGCAAAGCCCCGCCGGGACGAUCGCACGCCGCCAGCCCUCGGUCUCAGCUCCCACCUGUGCCCUGCAGCAUGUUCUGGCGGAGCAGGUCCCCGCUGGAGAGGUGCUUCAGCUCGAAGUGUUUGGUGAUGCGUGACGACACGGUGCCCUUGCCGGAGCCCGGGGCCCCCAUGAUCACGGCGCGCAGCAGCCGCCCCGACGCCCCCAUGGUGGCUGGCGGUGGUCCGAGCUGCGCAGACGCUGGUCUGUGGCCUGGCCUGCGCGCUCACAGGCUCCGCGGCCCUGGAGGGCUGGCAGCUGCAAGCGGGCGGUGGCCAGGACGCCCGGCUCUCCCGGAAGUGAGCGACGGCCACCGGGGCCGCCCCGCCGGCUGCUGCACCGCCCCUCCGCGCCCCUGCACCCCACUCCCUUGAGCUCCACCCGGCGCCUCUUGGCAUCCCCAGACCCUCGUGCCCUGUGCUGCCUGGUCCCAGCCUGCAGGCUGCGCCCGUCUGCAUUCUCCCCAGUGGACAACCUCUGAGCACCCCGUUCUACUUCUAGUCUCCCGCUGGCACCUCUGAGUGCCUGGAUUUCAUUUUUUUCCCCCCUCUGUGUUCACCUUUUUCACCCUUAGUCUUUUCUAAGAGCCAAGUUCUGUCCUGCUCAGACCCAACAGGAAGCAGCAUGCCCCCGUGUUGUGUCCCCUCGGCCCCUCUGGUUCACCAGGUGUUCCCCACCUUUUCACACCAAUCCUCCCUUGACCUUCUUCCCUCUGCCUUUUCACCCCAUUUCCUUCUCCUCCAGGGGUGACCUGGAACCCUCCUCACAGAAGCUUUCAUCAAGUGAAGUAUGUGUCUCAUCUCCCUGAAUCCACUUUCAGAACCAAAAGUAGCUGUCACCGUUAACUUCCGCAGAGGUCAAACAUACUAGCUCCUUCAGAAAUGCAUUCAUUUCAGGAAGAGCUACCCAGUGCCUACUGUGUGCCACUGUACUUAGAGGCCUCCGAGAAUGCUAUGCUGAACAAACCCGAGUUUCUACUGCUGUCCGUUUGUUUUCUUGCUUGUUUGUCCAGGGGUGGAAGUAAGGCUUUUUGAAACAGUACUGUGAAUAAAAACAAUAACAAACCAGC